UCGGAUUUCUGUGAAAGAGAGUACAUUUUGUAUUGAAGGCUAUGCUGAUGAGUCUGCAGUCAGACAGAGUGAGAGGGGGGAGAGAGAGCAGCAGCACUGCUGGGUCAGCUAAGCCUUGCCUGUCACCCCUCUGUCAGCUCAGCACUUUUGGACAUAUAUCUACCAUGUAGAGCUGCUGGUCCAGUGACAUGCCACUCAUUCUCCACCGAAGCUCGCUCUGCUAAAACCUCUCAGUUCCUACAUCCCCGCAAUCAUUUUCACAGCACAAAAUAUUUCAAAUGUGUCCAAAUUAAACAAGCUCUGUAUUAUUUUAGGCACAACGCCGCCUAAUCUAACACUAGAAAAAAACCCUUAAAUCCAUAUUAUGUUCACAUGUCACAGUUCAACUGGGUGUGACUGCUGUUUCCUGGUUUAUACAACACAUCAUUUUUUUCUGAACAUUUUUUCUUUCUUUGGCAUUUUGAUUUAUUGACAGAAGCAGGUUAGGCAGAGGAGAGAGAAGGGACAAGGCCAGACUUGAACCCAAACCACCGUGGAAAGGACUCAGGCUCAAUAUGUGGUAUGUGCUCUACAAGGAAGAGAAGAGAAGAGAAGAGAAGAGAAGAGAAGAGUAAAAGGGUUUCCGGUGUUUCAUUCCAUCGCCUGAAAAUGUAAAUUAAGCAUGUGACCAAAUGACUACACAGCUUGAUCUGGCAGGCUUACAUAAUGCUGGAACCGAGUUGGUUACCCGUGGCCAAGCAAUAGCAGCUCCGGCUUGGCCUACAUCCUGUUUCUGGGAGUCUUUAGUGAUGGCUGUGAAUGGCUCUGGUAGCAAACAGCGUGGAAGUGUCUCUGAUAGCAGAGAGAAUGGAAGGCAGUGAGCAGCCCACUCACCAGCCUGCCGCUGCCCCCGCACACAGACGCACGCACACAUGCACACAAAUACACUAUACAGGAGCGCUCGCGUAUUGGCAAACGUGAAUGGCUUCGAUGCGUUGUCAUUCUAUUCGGAUCAUCAGGUGGGAAAAAAUAGACAUGACAAAAUUAAAUUUCAAAAUGAAGUUGAUUUAAUCGAUUGUAUUAAAAGCGGAUAAGUCCAAUACACCCACAACGCUCACACACACACACACACACAGAUACACACUCACUCAUUUGACUCUUUCCAUCUUGCUCUCGCCCACACACUGACACACUCUCACACGUUCGUACAUGCCAGUAGAGUACUCCCAGAUGGACUACUACCAGAGCAGGAAUUAUGUAACAAAGGACUGUUUCAAACUACAAACUUUAAACUUAAACAGUGAGGCACAGUGAGAUUUUGUUCCAUUUAAUUGCAUGUUUGCCACCUUGAGGGUCUUCACCAUGACUUUUUGCAAUUGCAAAUUAUUACAACUUGAGCCUUUGCUAUGGCCCACCAUGACCAUGGAUAUGGUGAUGCACUAAACACAUUUCUUAUAUCGGGGAACAUCAAGCCUGACAACGUCAGAAACGAGUUCUUGAAACAGCGGCUUUUGAAAGGGUGGAAGCAAGCUAAAGAUUUGCUACAUAUGACUAUAUACCACUUUUAUGGAGGCAAAACUAUAGCCAACAUUUUUGUAAUAAUGCCAUACAGAACAACAUUUAUUUAUUUAUUAUUAUAGAUACCAAAUGCCUAAAGGCAAAAACUACAACAAAUAAGACCCAAGUUGUAAUCAUUUUCAUUUAACUUGUAACAACAGCAACAGUCAUGCUCAUAAAAAUCAUGUUGUAAGACCUCUGAUUAACUUUGGAAGUACAUAUUAUUACAGAUACAAAUAGCCUAACCCCCCUCACCCCCAAAAAAUAAGACACAAGUUGUAAUAAUAGCAAUAACAAUUAUGGUAAUAAAAACAACAAACACUCUUUUCACUUUUCACCACUUAUUUUUUAGCACUCAGGGGUACAAAGUUGCAUCCAUAAUACGGAGAAGUCGCCCUCAGCUGACUUCACUGAAACCCAUAACAUCCAUUAAAACCUCCGUAGCGAAUCUGUACUGGUCUCCGCUUUGAACGCAACACUCAUUUGUAAUGAUUUCAAACUUUCACCCUGUCAAGGAGGUAGUUACACAACUAGAGGUUGCGAGAGAACAAGAUUUGACUGUUAAUCGAGUGCAUCUCGCCUCAUCUCCCGCCAAGCAGCGAAAACCCCUGCCUCUCAUGGCCCCACAUGGCUGGCAGAAUGCUACCAUUUACAAGCCGGGGAGGAAAAAGGGGGUUGGAGGUGAGAGAGAGAGAGAGAGUGGAGGGGGGGGGGUAACUGGGAACAGAUGUAACUUCUGCCACGUACAUACACAUACACACACACACAAACACACUUUUAAUCUUGCUUUCCGUAGCUCAUGUCCUCCUCUGUAACCAUGUGUCCAAUAUUGCCUUUUUUCCCUCUUUAUUCCCCAGCUCCCUUACACUUCUCCCUGAACACCACCAUGUCUUACACCCUGACCCCUCGUCGUACCCAACCCCCCCAACUCUUAACGUGCAGGUUUUAACAACAGCCCCAGUGUGGCCCACUGGCGUCACCUUGCUCCUCCGCUGGACACAGGCCACUCUGUCUGGGCGCAAGGAGGGCCUACGGGGGGGGGUGGGGACGUGACUCUCCACUCACCCCGCACCACCACGACCUGGGAGACACCGGCAGAGAGAGCAACAUGUGUCCUGUAGACCCAGAACAAUGAGUUCCUUCACGGUGCUCGGUGACGGCAGCAGGUUCCCACCAGCCGGCCAGCCAGGUUUCUACUGUGGCUCUGACGACAAAUAGUCACAUCACAUCACAUAAUCACCAUGAGUAAACAGAACACUCACUGCCAAGAGGAAAGCUUUUUUAUGGGGUACAAUUCCGCAGCAUGGAGGACUGACUGGGUCACAGUGACCUGAUCUGAUGUUUCCUGUUCCUGUUUAAAACAUGUACUAAUGCCACAUAUUUGGUUUCAAA